UCCUAAAAACAACAAAUAAAAACAAAGUCCAAAACACAGCAGGAUGGGGUGUAGGACUCAGGGGCAUGCACAUAUCAAGUUUGUCGUUUGAGCCUUAGGCCAAAGCCUGAUCUUCCCAUGUUUAAUAAGCCAAAGUCCUUGUCAAAAUACCAAAUGCAGAAACGGGAAGGGAAAACGUGGCCGACGAUGAACUUCGAUGCAACCUCCAUCAUGUCCGCCGUCGAAUAGCGGCACCUCCGUUUCUCCAUAGAAGGCUUCACUGUGCUCGCACCGGGGUCACAAUCACGCGACUUCUGCUCCCGAUUCGCCGUUUGCGUUCGCACCGUAAUCACCUUACGCACCUCAUUGCAUUUCGUGGAGCAUCUUUUCUGAUUCCGCAUCGACACCGUAUCGCAAACGUCGAUGGUGCUUUGGGUUCAGCAAUCAUCGCAUCUCCGAUGUUGCAUUCAAGAGCGAUAACACAGAUAACAUCUAAGACAUCACACAUAGAGGCGAAGACUCACCGUUUUGACGCGGCGGUGAACACAGGUACGCGUUCUGGUGCACUAGGGGGUUGGCCACUUCAGCAAGCUUGAUGUUACACAAUGAGUAUUACUUGCGGAUCAGCAAGGAGUGGAAUGAUUGUUUUGAGCGAUCUUAAUUUGGAGCUGAGUUUCAAUUGGUGUGAAGAAGAUCCACCAUGCUGCCUAGGAUUACUUGGCCGUGCUUGGAAUUCCUUUGUUGUAGGUGGCUUCACCAAGUUAUGUAAAAAACCAAAUGGUACUCUCAUGUUAUCCUCAUACUAUAAAACUGAAUCCUUUUCUCUGUACUUGGAGUCUUGGUUCCAACAUUUUAAAUGAAUGUGAAUAAAAGUUUAGAAUGGACAUUGGGCUGGACACGGCUAUGAAUGUUUGUGAGAUUAGUAAUGGCAAGUGGAUCUAUUGGUUGAAA